AUUGCUUUUUGGCUCCCUAGAACUAAGAUCAAAACAUAGUGUCUGUUCUUUGCAGUACAAUCUGUGAUAUGUCUUUGAUGUGAGGAUUGUGUAUUAGCUUGAUUUUUGAAAGGAGAGGAUUAGUUAGAACAGGAGCUUGCUUUGUCUACUCCCUGCAUGGAUCUGGUAGUGUAGUGCUUCCAGAAACAGUGUAUCUCCU
ensembl:snRNA U2 U2 spliceosomal RNA